rnacentral:lncRNA from 1 species
GCUAAUGGGCUAAUAAAUAUUUAAAAGAAACUACAACUCAAAUGCACUUUCUCUGCAUCCGAUUAAUUCCAACCACUACGCAUCCCACUGUUUAACAAAUAUCAAUUUGAACUCAUGAAUUAAUCACGCAAAAUGAGUAAAUGGGACAACCAGUGGUUAAGAUAACAGUUCCAAGGAAUAUGCAAAGAAUAGCUAGAAACAAAAGAAACUCUAUACAAAACUAAAUUGUUAUGCGUCUGGUUCAACAAAGAAGCCAAACAUUUUUGCAAACUUAAGAGAUUAACAUUAUUAAAUUGUUUCCCCAAAUGCAGUGCACCCACUCCUUAUUAGCUCAAACUAUUUUGCUUGUAUCCCAAUGCUUGUUCCAUCCUAUUCAAUCAAUGGGAUUCAACAGUAAAAAUCAUAAUACUUCACAAAUCUGUACAACAUCAACUAGUCAAGCCAGUGAACACAUAGAUAAGAAUUGUACAAAGCACUAACAUUGCACAAGAUCACCGAUAACGAACUCGUAACUAUUUUAAACCAAGCAAAGACAUUCUCGUUUAAGAGUAAAGAACAAACACCAAGCUUAAUAGAUAUUACAAUCAAAUGCUACCAGAAUAAAAUCCAGAAAUUGAACGAUGAACAAGGAGUUUAGUACCGAACCUUUUCAGAAGCCAAACUUCUUCAAGAAAAUUUUAUUAGCAAGCAUUUCAGUGAAGCUACAACAGCUGAGAUCAAAGUCGAAUGGACUCCAAAAUCGAAUGAAAACGCAUCGGCGCCGAAACAUUAAACCGAAAACCUCGACGGCAACCUCAGACUACGACCUUCGGCGAACUCGGAACUCGCCAGAAAACUCGAAUUAAACCAAAUAAUGAAAUUAAUGGAUUGUAAUAGUGACUAGCGAUUUGGAUCUAUUUCAUACCAUUUAGUGUGCUUUGUAGCUGAGUUUCAUAAUCCUAUCCGAAAAUGGCAUAGCUAAUGGCAAACGGAAGAAGCAGUAACGACAGUGGGGGUGAAAACAUCAAACCAAGGAAGAUCAACAGAUCUGAGAGUGAAACAGUCAAAGGAUGUAUUGAACGAGGAGGUCACACAGUUGUUCCGUCUAUAUGUGUGUGCAUGAGGGUGAAGCUCACCGGAUAUGCGGUCACUGACGGGAUGGACAGCGGCGAGGUGAGACGAGGGAGUUGGGUGAAGGUCGGGCUAUUUUCGAAUUUUCGGCGAUGGGAGGGGUCCGCUACUGCUCAUCGUUCUCAGAGAUCGAGAGAGAUUGGAGGGUCCGUUCUCGCUGGUUUUGUGUAGGAGGCGACGACGGGAGGGUCUUCGGUCGUUUGGGAUCGAUGGCUGAUGAUGAAUGAAGAGGUCAAGGGGGCGAGGGGUCUGUGAAGAAGACGAUCUGAGGGGGGGAUGGGUCCUGUUGUUCGCAGCUUUUCAGCUUUCCCUCAGCGUUGUUUUUCCACCUUUUGAUUUUUUUUAAGUAUUAAUUUAUAGGUAGAGUCUAGGUUUAGGUGUAUUUUUGUGUAUUUUUCCAUUAGUCCCUAGGUCUUUUGUG